GCCGGGUGUGGUGGCACAUGCCUGUAAUCCCAGCUACUUGGGAGGCUGAGACAGGAGAAUCGCUUGAACCUGGGAGGUGGAGGUGGCAGUGAGUCAAGAUCAUGCCAUUGCACUCCAGCCUAGGUGACAGAGUGAGACUCUGUCUCAA
rfam:Gorilla gorilla gorilla genomic chromosome, chr9, whole genome shotgun sequence